CCCGAAAAUUUCCUGGGUUUUUUCGACUCAUCAGGAUUUGAUCCUGGAUCCUCCAAAGCGACCAUUCGACCAUUCGGCUGUGGCGAAUGCCACCCUUCACAUUUUAACCGUCGUAAAAAACAACUAACGCAAUACAACCAAAAACCUACAUAGCCACCCGACCGUUCCCCGUCCUCGUUUACCUUCUCUACCAACUUCAUCACUCAUUUCCGCUCUUAAUCCUUCAACUAAACACGACCAACUAUUCUAAUUGCUAAAAAUCGGCAGUAACACAACCGAAUUGGAGGUGUUAAUCACUGCUCUAAGGAGAUUUAAGUAAAGUCCUUCCCAAUUUAUUCAUAUCGGAGGAUAACCCGCAAAGGAAUAAGACAAGAAAAGACAAGAGCGUCCAACGAAGUAAUUGAUUUCGACGACAUCUAGUAGAGAAAUUUUUGAAAAACGAGUAAAAAAAUCUGGCAACGUUGUUAGUUGGUUUGUGAUUCAAAGAUGGAUGUCAGACGUCAUUUAGUAGUUAGAGCAUAAUCAAGGACGAUAAUUUGGAUAUAAAAUUUUUAUCUGAUGUCACGCGAGUAUAAUUUACCAAAAUUAUAUCCAUGUGUACAGUUAUAUUUAUCGCUGUUUGACGAUAUCAGACUUGCUAAUGGGGGGUAAACAAAGUACCAGCAAUCCCCCUCGAGUCCCCAGUUCGAACAAUGAUACGACAUCAGCCAAUUCAGCUGAUUUGAGCUUGAUCGGACAUAGAGCUGGAAGUAGCAAUACUAAUACGGAUGCAAGGCAAAGAGCAAGAAGUUUGUCCAACGUACUCAAUGGGCAUUCGGGUCAGCCAAUAACAAUUCAUUCGAACCAUGGUGCUUUUGGUAUUUCAGGUUCUCCAGAGUCUGACACAAGUACGUCUGAUGAGAUACCUAUUGGACGCGUUUUUGCCGCUCACUCGCUUCCUGUCCAGUUGGUCUCAAUAAAUGGUAUUAAAUGUCCAGUAUGUUCCAAAUUUGUGCCACCUGAUGAUGUUGAGUGCCAUUUGGUGAUGUGUCUUACUAAACCUAGAAUUAGCUAUAAUGACUCCAAAUUGAUAAGGCUACCAGCACCUGCAUUAAUUAAAUCCUUUGCUAUUGUCCUAAAGACUUGACUGAAAGAACAUGAAUUCAUCACAAAAAAGAAACUUCUAGUUACUCCAUUGGAACCAGAUAUCCAUAUUAACCUACAAGGAGCCCACUUAAUAAAACCAACCACAUUUAUGCAGAGUUAAGAGGGAUUGAAGCUCUAGAAAUUACAUUUCUGCAAGAAAAUUCAAGAGUAUAAACAAAAAAGAUAUGGAAAACUUCUCCAAUGCAUGGACAUCCUGUUAUAACAUUCCAAAACUGUUUCCCCUCUACUACAUUAAAACAGCACAUCUACUUGGCACUAGGAUGUUCUGACUGAAGAUAAAGGUGAAUGUGUUAUAUGCUUAGAGGAAUUAGUUCAGGGAGAUACAAUUGCAAGACUACCCUGUUUGUGUAUAUAUCAUAAAUC
rnacentral:misc_RNA from 1 species